GAAAUGCGAUACUUGGUGUGAAUUGCAGAAUCCCGUGAACCAUCGAGUCUUUGAACGCAAGUUGCGCCCGAAACCACUCGGUUGAGGGCACGUCUGCCUGGGCGUCACGCAUCGCGUCGCCCCCCGCCUCUGUCCCAUUCGUGGAGAUGGAGUGUUGGGGGCGGAAGUUGGCCCCCCGUGUGCGAAAGCACGCGGUCGGCCUAAAUUCUAACCCGCGGCGACUCGCGUCACGAUCAGUGGUGGUUGAAACAAUCAACUUUCUUGCUAUUGUGUCGAUCGAAGUCGCUCGACGGGCGAAGCAUCGAACCCAAUGGCUCGUUUCAAACUGAGCUUUCGACCGCGACCCCAGGUCAGACGGGAUUACCCGCUGAGUUUAA
rnacentral:misc_RNA from 1 species